GCUCUGCAUAUCUCCAGUGUUCAGUUGUCUGAUGCAGGGGACUACCACUGUGCCGCUGAGAACAGAGCGGGACAACAGCAAAGAAGAGCCACCCUCACCAUCUCUGCUGAAGAUGACCCGGCUGAUAGAGACAAGCAGCAUAGACAGAUUGUGUCUGCAGUUCCAAACACUGAAGCAGAGCAAAGAAUUCCCCUGUCCAGUAACGUCCUGAGUUUAGCUCAGCGUUCUGAGAUGACCCAAUUACAGGCAGGAAGCACAGUCCAAGCAUCUCAAAAAGACUUGAGCAACGACAUCACCCAAGUGUCUACCCCUGGCACGUUACGACUGCUCUCGUCUCUCAAGAAGACAGCUUUAGGACUAGCAGGUCUCAGCGGAGGACAGACAGGAUUGCUGGUACUACCUGACCUUCACUCCCAGCUCCCAUUGGACCAGGCCUCGGCCAAACCAACCCAGCCUACAAUCACACAGAUCCAGCUUCCAGUACUACAAGCCCCACAUCCACCUCUAUAUCAACCCUUAGACCUACUAAGCCAGCCUUCAGUAACUCAUAGAGUCCUCACACUUACCCAGCUCCCAAUAAUACAUACCCAGCCAACAUUAGCACAUAAUCCACCCCCAGUGACACAACGCCAGGUUUUAGUCCCACAUAGCCAAUCUCAAUUAACACAGUCCGUAUCCCAAAGCAUCUACAACCAGCCAUCAGUCAUGCAUAUCCAGCAUCAAGUCACUGACCAACCAAUUAAGCCACUAAAGCUCAUUGCCAGUAUUACCCAGUCUCUGGUCCCACGCCCACAACCUUCUCCAGACUCUCCCACCCACCUUUCAAACCCCUCUACCCAGAGUCCUGAUUGUCUUACCCAGCCCAGAGAACCUGUGACUCAGUCUCUACUCAUGCAAACCCUGCAUCCUUCUGACUCAAUCACUCAAACCCACCGUCCUGUAACGCAAAGUUAUCCUUCAUAUCCACAUAUACAGCAUCCUAGCCCUGUCACCCUGUUUUCAGUCACACAAACUCAGCCUGAACCUACACAAACUCAGCCUGAACCUACACAAACUCAGCCUGAACCUACACAAUCUCAGUCUGAACCUACACAAACUCAGCCUGAACCUACACGAAACUCAGCCUGAAACCUACACAAACUCAUCCUGAACCUACA